UAUACAGCGAAACUGCGAAUGGCUCAUUAUAUAAGUUAUCGUUUAUUUGAUAGUGCCUUACUACUUGGAUAACCGUGGUAAUUCUAGAGCUAAUACAUGCUAAAAACCCCGACUUCGGAAGGGGUGUAUUUAUUAGAUACAAAACCAAUGCCCUUCGGGGCUCUUUGGUGAUUCGUGAUAACUAUACGAAUCGCACGGCCUUGCGCCGGCGAUGGUUCAUUCAAAUUUCUUCCCUAUCAACUUUCGAUGUUUGGGUAUUGGCCAAACAUGGUUGCAACGGGUAACGGAGGGUUAGGGCUCGACCCCGGAGAAGGAGCCUGAGAAACGGCUACUACAUCCAAGGAAGGCAGCAGGCGCGCAAAUUACCCAAUCCCGACUCGGGGAGGUAGUGACAAUAAAUACUGAUACAGGGCCCUUUCGGGCCUUGUAAUUGGAAUGAGUACAAUUUAAAUCCCUUAACGAGGAACAAUUGGAGGGCAAGUCUGGUGCCAGCAGCCGCGGUAAUUCCAGCUCCAAUAGCGUAUAU
rnacentral:rRNA from 1 species